AAAGGGUGCGUAGGCGGCUAGGCAAGUCAGACGUGAAAACCAUGGGCUCAACCUGUGGACUGCGUUUGAAACUGUUUAGCUUGAGUGAAGUAGAGGUAGGCGGAAUUCCCGGUGUAGCGGUGAAAUGCGUAGAGAUCGGGAGGAACACCAGUGGCGAAGGCGGCCUACUGGGCUUUAACUGACGCUGAGGCACGAAAGCAUGGGUAGCAAACAGGAUUAGAUACCCUGGUAGUCCAUGCCGUAAACGAUGAUUACUAGGUGUGGGGGGUCUGACCCCCUCCGUGCCGGAGUUAACACAAUAAGUAAUCCACCUGGGGAGUACGGCCGCAAUGUUGAAACUCAAAGGAAUUGACGGGGGCCCGCACAAGCAGUGGAGUAUGUGGUUUAAUUCGAAGCAACGCGAAGAACCUUACCAGGUCUUGACAUCCGACUAACGAAGUAGAGAUACAUUAGGUGCCUUUCGGGGAAAGUCGAGACAGGUGGUGCAUGGUUGUCGUCAGCUCGUGUCGUGAGAUGUUGGGUUAAGUCCCGCAACGAGCGCAACCCUUGUCAUUAGUUGCUACGUAAGAGCACUCUAAUGAGACUGCCGUUGACAAAACGGAGGAAGGUGGGGACGACGUCAAAUCAUCAUGCCCCUUAUGACCUGGGCUACACACGUACUACAAUGGCCGUUAACAGAGGGAAGCAAUACCGUGAGGUGGAGCCAAACCCUAAAAACGGUCCCAGUUCGGAUUGUAGGCUGAAACUCGCCUACAUGAAGUUGGAAUUGCUAGUAAUCGCGGAUCAGCAUGCCGCGGUGAAUACGUUCCCGGGCCUUGUACACACCGCCCGUCACACCAUGGGAGCCGGUAAUACCCGAAGCCAGUAGUCUAACCGUAAGGAGGACGCUGUCGAAGGUAGGAUUGGCGACUGGGGUGAAGUCGUAACAAGGUAGCCGUAUCGGAAGGUGCGGCUG
rnacentral:rRNA from 1 species